UCCGCGCAGUGCCAUCAUUCCCUGACGGGCCGCAGUGACCAUAGCCGCCCUGCUCCACUUCCUGUAGCGGACCCCGCACAGCUCCACUAUCCCCUGACAGGCCACAGUGACGGCCACGCACCUGCUCCACCUCCUGCGACGGAUACCGCGCGAUUCUCUUAUCCGCUGACAACAGACGCUGCUCCACCCCUCAUAACAGAUUCCACGUGGCAAGCCUCCGUGAUGGCCACGCGUCUACUUCACUAUCCUUUGCAAUCAAUUUCCCUGACUACGGGCGGCCCACUACCAGACGGUUACAAACGUCGCCAUCAAUCCGUUGCCUCCUCCGCCUAUAAAAG
rnacentral:lncRNA from 1 species